UCCACCAUCGAUUUCCUUCUCAGUCAUUCUCGGUCCACCAGUAGCAACCGUCGAUCCACCAUCGCUGGCCACAAUAGCUAUCGUAUGUUGAGAGCAGAAAUCAGAGUAUCGGAAGAGGACUCAGACAUUUCUGAACGGCCAAAAAAAUCUCUCUCGGAUAAUCAAUUUCCAGAGGCUUCUCCAUCUCCAUCUUCUCUCAGUCGCACCAUCUCCGACCAUCGGUGGCCGCCGCUCAUCCUUCUUCACCGACUGCCACAGGUUCCAAAUCUGCAGAGUGUUACGCGGUAAAUGUGAAGGACUCGACGCGGUGGUGAAGAUACAGGAAGAGGCAGUCAAUUGCAGAGUCUUGCCCGGUGACGACGUACGCAGAAUGAAGUAUUAAUAUUAUACAUGCUUAAGUAUUUCGCCGAUGACACAUUCUAGUAAGGUCAGAUUGAUCGGAUACCGAUGGAAAGGUGAAACGGUGGGCAUGGGUUAUAUGAUCAACGCCGUCGAAAAAAGACAGUCGCUGCCUUGCUUUGCCAUGUUCAUAGAACUUACAUUUCACAUGACUGAGAGGAGACCGCCAUAACUGUUGCUGAGUCAUUUAUGAAAUCUAGCUGCAUUCAUUGUA